rnacentral:rRNA from 1 species
GUGAGGAAUAUUGGUCAAUGGGCGGGAGCCUGAACCAGCCAAGUCGCGUGAAGGAAGAAGGAUCUAUGGUUCGUAAACUUCUUUUGCAGGGGAAUAAAGUGUAGGACGUGUCCUGUUUUGUAUGUACCCUGAGAAUAAGGAUCGGCUAACUCCGUGCCAGCAGCCGCGGUAAUACGGAGGAUCCGAGCGUUAUCCGGAUUUAUUGGGUUUAAAGGGUGCGUAGGUGGUUUGAUAAGUCAGCGGUGAAAGUUUGCAGCUUAACUGUAAAAAUGCCGUUGAAACUGUCGGACUUGAGUGUAAAUGAGGAAGGCGGAAUGUGUGGUGUAGCGGUGAAAUGCAUAGAUAUCACGCAGAACUCCGAUUGCGAAGGCAGCUUACUAAGCUACAACUGACACUGAAGCACGAAAGCGUGGGGAUCAAACAGGAUUAGAAACCCGGGUAGUCC